rnacentral:rRNA from 1 species
AGUGAACGCUGGCGGUAGGCCUAACACAUGCAAGUCGAACGGCAGCACAGAGGAGCUUGCUCCUUGGGUGGCGAGUGGCGGACGGGUGAGGAAUACAUCGGGAAUCUACCUUGUCGUGGGGGAUAACGUAGGGAAACUUACGCUAAUACCGCAUACGACCCCAUACCGAGAGGUAUAAGGUGAAAGUAGGGGAUCGCAAGACCUUACGCGAUUGGAUGAGCCGAUGUCGGAUUAGCUAGUUGGCGGGGUAAGGCCACCAAGGCGACGAUCCGUAGCUGGUCUGAGGGGAUGAUCAGCCACACUGGAACUGAGACACGGUCCAGACUCC